rnacentral:rRNA from 1 species
GAGGAAGUAAAAGUCGUAACAAGGUUUCCGUAGGUGAACCUGCGGAAGGAUCAUUAUCGAGUUUGAAAAGGGUUGUAGCUGGUCUUUCACGAGGCAUGUGCACACCCUACUCAUCCACUCAACACCUGUGCACACUAUGUAGGUUUAGACGAGCAUCGGGGCCCUCGUGCCUCGGUAGGAGUCUGCCUAUGUCUUUAUAAACUCUGUUUAGUAUACGAAUGUACUUGCGAUAAAACGCAUCUUAUACAACUUUCAGCAACGGAUCUCUUGGCUCUCGCAUCGAUGAAGAACGCAGCGAAAUGCGAUAAGUAAUGUGAAUUGCAGAAUUCAGUGAAUCAUCGAAUCUUUGAACGCACCUUGCGCCCCUUGGUAUUCCGAGGGGCACACCCGUUUGAGUGUCGUGAAAUUCUCAACUCAACCACCUUUGCUGGUGUUUGGGCUUGGACUUGGGGGUUUGCUGGCUUCGGUCGGCUCCCCUUGAAUGCAUUAGCUCGAACCCUUGCGGAUCAGCUAUCGGUGUGAUAAUUGUCUACGCCGUGGUUGUGAUGCCACCUUCGGGUGUUGGAUCGGCUUCUAACUGUCCCCUAGGGACAAUUUCUUUGAAAUCUGACCUCAAAUCGGGUGGGACUACCCGCUGAACUUAAGCAUAUC